UAGGGAAUCUUCGGCAAUGGGGGCAACCCUGACCGAGCAACGCCGCGUGAGUGAAGAAGGUUUUCGGAUCGUAAAGCUCUGUUGUAAGAGAAGAACGUGUGUGAGAGUGGAAAGUUCACACAGUGACGGUAACUUACCAGAAAGGGACGGCUAACUACGUGCCAGCAGCCGCGGUAAUACGUAGGUCCCGAGCGUUGUCCGGAUUUAUUGGGCGUAAAGCGAGCGCAGGCGGUUUAAUAAGCCUGAAGUUAAAGGCAGUGGCUUAACCAUUGUUCGCUUUGGAAACUGUUAAACUUGAGUGCAGAAGGGGAGAGUGGAAUUCCAUGUGUAGCGGUGAAAUGCGUAGAUAUAUGGAGGAACACCGGUGGCGAAAGCGGCUCUCUGGUCUGUAACUGACGCUGAGGCUCGAAAGCGUGGGGAGCAAACAGG
rnacentral:rRNA from 1 species